AGUGAACGCUGGCGGCAGGCCUAACACAUGCAAGUCGAACGGCAGCACAGAGGAGCUUGCUCCUUGGGUGGCGAGUGGCGGACGGGUGAGGAAUACAUCGGAAUCUGCCUAUUUGUGGGGGAUAACGUAGGGAAACUUACGCUAAUACCGCAUACGACCUACGGGUGAAAGCGGAGGACCUUCGGGCUUCGCGCAGAUAGAUGAGCCGAUGUCGGAUUAGCUAGUUGGCGGGGUAAAGGCCCACCAAGGCGACGAUCCGUAGCUGGUCUGAGAGGAUGAUCAGCCACACUGGAACUGAGACACGGUCCAGCCUCCUACGGGAGGCAGCAGUGGGGAAUAUUGGACAAUGGGCGCAAGCCUGAUCCAGCCAUGCCGCGUGGGUGAAGAAGGCCUUCGGGUUGUAAAGCCCUUUUGUUGGGAAAGAAAAGCAGUCGGUUAAUACCCGAUUGUUCUGACGGUACCCAAAGAAUAAGCACCGGCUAACUUCGCGCCAGCCGCCGCCGUAAAAC
rnacentral:rRNA from 1 species